UGAGGAAUAUUGGUCAAUGGGCGCAGGCCUGAACCAGCCAAGUAGCGUGGAGGAUGACUGCCCUAUGGGCUGUAAACUUCUUUUAUAUGGGAAUAAAGUUUUCCACGUGUGGAAUUUUGUAUGUACCAUAUGAAUAAGGAUCGGCUAACUCCGUGCCAGCAGCCGCGGUAAUACGGAGGAUCCGAGCGUUUAUCCGGAUUUAUUGGGUUUAAAGGGAGCGUAGGUGGACAGUUAAGUCAGUUGUGAAAGUUUGCGGCUCAACCGUAAAAUUGCAGUUGAUACUGGCUGUCUUGAGUACAGUAGAGGUGGGCGGAAUUCGUGGUGUAGCGGUGAAAUGCUUAGAUAUCACGAAGAACUCCGAUUGCGAAGGCAGCUCACUGGACUGCAACUGACACUGAUGCUCGAAAGUGUGGGUAUCAAACAGGAUUAGAUACCCUGGUAGU
rnacentral:rRNA from 1 species